GAUAGAUCAUAGACGGGAAGUGAUCACUCCUUUCUUUGAGGAGUGGACAGGAGGCGAUUCUGACUUGGCCACCGGGUUAUAAUGUUCAGUGCUCCGAGAGCAAAGAAAAAUACUAUUAAUGGCCUUCAUAGUAAAGUACUUUGGUGCCAAAGAGUACACGAAAGGGAACUGAGCAAUGCGGUUGAUGGCGUUCCUGUGCUGGCAUUUUUGGUCGGUCCCGCAUGAGUCUGUCUAGG
rnacentral:lncRNA from 1 species